CCUACGGGAGGCAGCAGUGGGGGAUAUUGCACAAUGGGGGGAACCCUGAUGCAGCGACGCCGCGUGGGUGAAGGAGUGCUUCGGCAUGUAAAGCCCUAUCGGCAGGGAAGAAGCAAGACGGUACCUGACUAAGAAGCCCCGGCUAACUACGUGCCAGCAGCCGCGGUAAUACGUAGGGGGCGAGCGUUAUCCGGAUUUACUGGGGGUAAAGGGAGCGCAGGCGGCGUGGCAAGUCAGAUGUGAAAACCCGGGGCCCAACCCCGGGAGUGCAUUUGAAACUGCCAUGCUGGAGUGCCGGAGGGGUAAGCGGAAUUCCUAGUGUAGCGGUGAAAUGCGUAGAUAUUAGGAGGAACACCAGUGGCGGAGGCGGCUUACUGGACGGUAACUGACGCUGAGGCUCGAAAGAGUGGGGAGCAAACAGGAUUAGAUACCCCUGUAGUC
rnacentral:rRNA from 1 species